UACGUAGGGUGCGAGCGUUGUUCGGAAUCACUGGGCGUAAAGCGCGCGUAGGCGGACCUGCAAGUCGGGGGUGAAAGCCCGAGGCUCAACCUCGGAACUGCCUUCGAUACUGCGGGUCUCGAGUCCGGGAGAGGUGAGUGGAAUUCCUAGUGUAGAGGUGAAAUUCGUAGAUAUUAGGAAGAACACCAGUGGCGAAGGCGGCUCACUGGCCCGGUACUGACGCUGAGGCGCGAAAGCGUGGGGAGCAAACAGG
rnacentral:rRNA from 1 species